rnacentral:rRNA from 1 species
AGCGGCGGAUGGGUGAGUAACACGUGGGGAACCUGCCCCUAAGUCUGGGAUACCAUUUGGAAACAGGUGCUAAUACCGGAUAAUAAAGCAGAUCGCAUGAUCAGCUUUUGAAAGGCGGCGUAAGCUGUCGCUAAGGGAUGGCCCCGCGGUGCAUUAGCUAGUUGGUAAGGUAACGGCUUACCAAGGCGACGAUGCAUAGCCGAAUUGAGAGACUGAUCGGCCACAUUGGGACUGAGACACGGCCCAAACUCCUACGGGAGGCAGCAGUAGGGAAUCUUCCACAAUGGACGCAAGUCUGAUGGAGCAACGCCGCGUGAGUGAAGAAGGUUUUCGGAUCGUAAAGCUCUGUUGUUGGUGAAGAAGGAUAGAGGUAGUAACUGGCCUUUAUUUGACGGUAAUCAACCAGAAAGUCACGGCUAACUACGUGCCAGCAGCCGCGGUAAUACGUAGGUGGCAAGCGUUGUCCGGAUUUAUUGGGCGUAAAGCGAGCGCAGGCGGAAAAAUAAGUCUAAUGUGAAAGCCCUCGGCUUAACCGAGGAACUGCAUCGGAAACUGUUUUUCUUGAGUGCAGAAGAGGAGAGUGGAACUCCAUGUGUAGCGGUGGAAUGCGUAGAUAUAUGGAAGAACACCAGUGGCGAAGGCGGCUCUCUGGUCUGCAACUGACGCUGAGGCUCGAAAGCAUGGGUAGCGAACAGGAUUAGAUACCCUGGUAGUCCAUGCCGUAAACGAUGAGUGCUAAGUGU